CCUACGGGAUGCAGCAGUGAGGAAUCUUUGUCCAUGGACGGAAGUCUGAACCAGCCAUGCCGCGUGCAGGAAGACGGCUCUAUGAGUUGUAAACUGCUUUUGUACAAGGGUAAAUCUAAAUACGUGUAUUCAGCUUAAAGUACUGUACGAAUACGGAUCGGCAAACUCCGUUCAAGCAGCCGCGGUAAUACGUAGGCGCCAAGCGUUAUCCUUAUUUCUUUGGUUUAAAGGGUGAGUAGGUGGAAUGCCAAGUCAGCGGUAAACGCGCGGGGCUCACCCUCGCACCGCAGUUGAAACUGGCGGUCUGGAGUAGGCGAGAAGUAGGCGGAAGGCGUGGUGUAGCGGUGAAAUGCAUAGAUAUCACGCAGAACUCCGAGUGCGAAGGCAGCAUACCGGCGCCUAACUGACGCUGAAGCACGAAAGCGUGGGUAUCGAACAGGAUUAGAUACCCGUGUAGUC
rnacentral:rRNA from 1 species